CUUUGGCCAGACCACUGGUGUGGGGAAUGUGUCUCGUGGAGUCUCGGAUCUGGAACCUGUGACAUAAGCUAGGUUUGGUAUUACCUGUGUGUAGGCAGGCAGGCAGCAGUGUCAGGGGGCUGGGUAGUAUUGAUCGGAGGAGUGUGUGAUGAUGAUGAGCUGUGACAGCCCACCGUGUGGACCUGCUCUGAGUCAGGGAGGAGCCCGCCCCGUUGCCGUGUCGCCCAGGAUCACGCUAGCACGGGCUGCAUCGUUCCACACGCAUCACUGCCCUAGGACACAGCCUGCGCUGCGGCAGGGGCAAACAGCACCAGGAGACACGGGAAAAGACUCUGUCUGUCUACAGUGUGUUAGGGAGAGAUACUGUACUGGACAGGAUGUGACCAAGCUUCAAUCGUUUAGAAACACUUGAGUGUAAAGUACCAUGUGGUGUCUCCACUGCAUUUAGAUUAAAAGUUUAAGAUAAUA